rnacentral:rRNA from 1 species
CGGUGAAUACGUUCCCGGGCCUUGUACACACCGCCCGUCAAGCCAUGGAAGCCGGGGGUACCCAAAGCCAGUAUUCUAACCGCAAGGAGGAAACUGUUUAAGGUAAAACCGGUGACUGGGGCU